CUUUCUUUAAUUUUUUUUUUUUUAAUGCUUAUUUAUUUUUGACAGAGAGAGACAGAGCAUGAGUGGGGGGAGGGGCAGAGAGAGAGGGAGACAGAAUCUGAAGCAGGCUCCAGGUUCUGAGCUGUCAGCACAGAACCCCACGUGGGGCUCAAACCCACAAACAGUGAGAUCAUGACCUGAGCCGAGGUCGGACGCUUAACCGACUGAGCCACCCAGGCGCCCCCAUCGUCACUCUAACUACCUCAGUGCCUCCUGACACCCCUCCUCCAACUUCCCCAUCACAGUCCUGUCUGAAAGCUUUCUUAUUGAAACUAUUAAAGGCUAUAAAAGGAACUCCAAAGAGUCAGUGUACACGUCCCUUGCAAGCAACAAGAUAACUGAGAGUUACGAGGGGACGCCGAGGAACUUUACGGCAUGCUGUGUCCCUUCCUAUGUGCAGCCUUUUGGGAAUGUGCUGUGAUUCACGGAGCCUGAAACAACAGGCCCCUGGACAUUUCGGAGUCUCCCUACGCUGCACUCCGAAGACAGCUGGGUAUCGCCCUUUAAGCAGCAGCAAGCCCCACCCCCUGAAGAACACGGCACUCCAGUUCCCAGAGCUCCUCAUACUCUUUCAGGGCCUUUAAUCUGUCAGGAACGACCUACGUCCUGAAUCCGCGCAAUAACGGCGUUGAAACUACAUUACCCGGAAGCCCGUGCGGCGUAGCCAAGGGCCGUUUUCGAGAGUGCGCGCCUCGUGGGGGCGGGACUUCCGGCGGCGCCUUCGUGGUGUCUGAGUUCUCUGUCGUUCCAGGGACUGUUCCGUGGCUUAGUGCGUCCGGAAUCCUCAGUCCCGACCGACGUGAAUGGAAAGCGCGAAAAGAGGCCCUGUUCCCGCCGCAGUGGCGGCUGCGAGGCGCCCUCGCCCCCGCCCCCGCCCGGUCGCCCGCCGCGUCCCGCCCCGCUCUUCCCACUGGUCGGAGGCGGAGGCCGCGCCGGUGAAGCCGGCGCAGGUUCCCGUGGCAUUUGCAGAAAUGCUUAUGGAUCCUGUACAGGUACAUGGAGGAUGUGACAGUUGGAGGACACCCCAGUUGUCCCCCUGAUGGUUUUGCCACUCCCGUGUAAAGAAUGAUGGUGUCCUGAGAUUGCUCACCUGUUCUCCCUCCCUUGGCUCUAAAGUCCCUGUGGUCUCAUCAAAGCCCAGGGUCUUGAACUCAUCCCUGGAUUCUAUGGAGCAUUGCCCAUUUGUGACAACCAAUGGGGUAAGAUGUGGAAGGGUGUCCUGGGCACAGGAUCCAGAAUGUUCAAGUGAUGGGGGUGAGAGUUGGAAUGAUCAGGGAACUGCGAGGCUCUUACCUACAGUGGGAAUAUGGGGCAGCAGGGGGCACACAGUUACCAGGUCCACAGUUACAGCCUGAAGUGGUGAGCCUUUAAUCUGAAGGAAGUAGGAGAAGGUUCUGAGCUGAGGAGCCAGGUGACCUGAUCUUCACAGGCUGUGUGCAGCUGCAGUGUGCGGGAGAGCCUCGACGAAGGUGGGGAUAGUGGGGGGCCUCCUGGGACUGCGCAGGUGACCUCUGCUGAUGGCUGCACAGGGCUGGUGGCUGUGGAGGUGGAGGACCAGCUGCCUUCUGGAGGUGUUCCAGACGGAGUAGCCCACGUUCAGUGAUGUGGCAAGCAAGGGUGUGGGGGGAUGAGAUGGAAGGGGGCGUCAGGGGCAGCCCCAAGGAUUUUGGCUUUCUCUGAAAGAAUGGAUGUCCUGUCAGUUGAGACGGGGAAGUCAGUAGUCGGUUGGAAUAGGAAGUCA
ensembl:lncRNA